GGCCUAACACAUGCAAGUCGAGCGGAAACGAGUUAUCUGAACCUUCGGGGAACGAUAACGGCGUCGAGCGGCGGACGGGUGAGUAAUGCCUAGGAAAUUGCCCUGAUGUGGGGGAUAACCAUUGGAAACGAUGGCUAAUACCGCAUAAUGCCUACGGGCCAAAGAGGGGGACCUUCGGGCCUCUCGCGUCAGGAUAUGCCUAGGUGGGAUUAGCUAGUUGGUGAGGUAAUGGCUCACCAAGGCGACGAUCCCUAGCUGGUCUGAGAGGAUGAUCAGCCACACUGGAACUGAGACACGGUCCAGACUCCUACGGGAGGCAGCAGUGGGGAAUAUUGCACAAUGGGCGCAAGCCUGAUGCAGCCAUGCCGCGUGUGUGAAGAAGGCCUUCGGGUUGUAAAGCACUUUCAGUCGUGAGGAAGGUAGUGUAGUUAAUAGCUGCAUUAUUUGACGUUAGCGACAGAAGAAGCACCGGCUAACUCCGUGCCAGCAGCCGCGGUAAUACGGAGGGUGCGAGCGUUAAUCGGAAUUACUGGGCGUAAAGCGCAUGCAGGUGGUUUGUUAAGUCAGAUGUGAAAGCCCGGGGCUCAACCUCGGAAUUGCAUUUGAAACUGGCAGACUAGAGUACUGUAGAGGGGGGUAGAAUUUCAGGUGUAGCGGUGAAAUGCGUAGAGAUCUGAAGGAAUACCGGUGGCGAAGGCGGCCCCCUGGACAGAUACUGACACUCAGAUGCGAAAGCGUGGGGAGCAAACAGGAUUAGAUACCCUGGUAGUCCACGCCGUAAACGAUGUCUACUUGGAGGUUGUGGCCUUGAGCCGUGGCUUUCGGAGCUAACGCGUUAAGUAGACCGCCUGGGGAGUACGGUCGCAAGAUUAAAACUCAAAUGAAUUGACGGGGGCCCGCACAAGCGGUGGAGCAUGUGGUUUAAUUCGAUGCAACGCGAAGAAUCU
rnacentral:rRNA from 1 species